rnacentral:rRNA from 1 species
UACAGAGGAUGCAAGCGUUAUCCGGAAUGAUUGGGCGUAAAGCGUCUGUAGGUGGCUUUUUAAGUCCGCCGUCAAAUCCCAGGGCUCAACUCUGGACAGGCGGUGGAAACUACCAAGCUUGAGUACGGUAGGGGCAGAGGGAAUUUCCGGUGGAGCGGUGAAAUGCGUAGAGAUCCGGAAGAACACCGGUGGCGAAGGCGGUCUGCUGGGCAGUAGCUGACACUGAGGCGCGACAGCGUGGGGAGCAAACAGG